rnacentral:rRNA from 1 species
AAUGGUUUUUUGUUUAAAUGUUUUUUCGCCUAAGGAUGGGUCUGCGGCCGAUUAGGUAGUUGGUUAGGUAAUGGCUUACCAAGCCGUUGAUCGGUACGGGUUGUGAGAGCAAGAGCCCGGAGAUGGAACCUGAGACAAGGUUCCAGGCCCUACGGGGUGCAGCAGGCGCGAAACCUCCGCAAUGUGAGAAAUCGCGACGGGGGGAUCCCAAGUGCCAUUCUUAACGGGAUGGCUUUUCAUUAGUGUAAAAAGCUUUUGGAAUAAGAGCUGGGCAAGACCGGUGCCAGCCGCCGCGGUAACACCGGCAGCUCUAGUGGUAGCAACUUUUAUUGGGCCUAAAGCGUCCGUAGCCGGUUUAAUAAGUCUCUGGUGAAAUCCUGUAGCUUAACUGUGGGAAUUGCUGGAGAUACUAUUAGACUUGAGACCGGGAGAGGUUAGAGGUACUCCCAGGGUAGAGGUGAAAUUCUGUAAUCCUGGGAGGACCGCCUGUUGCGAAGGCGUCUAACUGGAACGGUUCUGACGGUGAGGGACGAAAGUUAGGGGCGCGAACCGGAUUAGAUACCCGGGUAGUCCUAACUGUAAACGAUGCGGACUUGGUGUUGGGGUGGCUUUGAGCUGCUCCAGUGCCGAAGGGAAGCUGUUAAGUCCGCCGCCUGGGAAGUACGGUCGCAAGACUGAAACUUAA